AAUUAAUGGGCAUAGCUAGAAGAGGAAGACGGACUGCAAGCCUUCAAGCAGCACCAUAUAUCAAAAUUGGGGAUUUUUUCAUGACUAUGAAUUUCAACUACUUUCUAUCCCAAGCUUCAUCUGCUUGUACUCUGAGCUGUCUAUUGUGUACAUAUUACUGUGGAUAGAGGGUGGAGAGGGGGGGUCUUCUAUUACAAUUCACAGAAAUUUCCCACUACUUACUUCUCUAUUAUGAAUGAAUAAUAGUUAUUCAAAAAAACGUAUCCCAUUUACAGUACAGUCAAACCUCUUCAUAACAAAGACGUUGGAUGACUGUUAUACACCUAUAACAACAUUGAUAUUUAAAUGGUAUUUUACUGUUAUAGGCAAAAAAGAUGCAUCAAAUCUAAUUUUCAUUUUUAAUUGCCAAAUUCUAAGCUUAAUCACACUUUGUAUAACGAAGGAAAAUCGUUUUAAUGAUGAAAAUAUAUACUCCAUCCGUUUCAAUUUAUGUGAAUCCAUUUGACUGGGCACGACAUUUAAGAAAGAAUGAAGACUUUUAAAACUUGUGGUUCAAAAUAAGUCUUGAAUAUUUGUGUGGUUGUAAAUUAUUUCAUAAAGUGAAUUUGUUUCCAAAUUAGAAAAGAGGUCAUUUAUUUUGGCACAGACUAAAAAGGAAAUAGGUUCACAUAAAUUGAAACAGAGGGAGUAUAUUCAUAUAACAUUUUUUUUGUUGUAAUAAUAUGUUAAAUGAUCAAAUAUUUGGUCAAAAUCUCUACACUUAUUAUUGGUAAUCAUAGAUAUUCUAUUUUUAUAAAUAUGGUUAAUUAUUAUAUUGCCAAAACAAGAAGAUAACUAUUAUAUGGGGGUAAUUUUACAUAAAGCGUAUUGUUAUAAAAUUGGUUGUUGCUGUUACAGGUGAAAUGCUGUUAUAGAGAAGUAAAAUAUAACAUAAAAAAUCAGUUUUAAAAAAAGUUGGUUGUUAUAGAAAGGUGUUAUUAUAUGCGGGUGUCGUUAUAUACCACUUGCCUAGGUCCAAUAGCAAUAAUUCAAUUCAAUUGGAGUAGACCCCAUCUUCAUAGAAACUUUUCAUACUUGAUGUCUUAUAUAUGACUUUGUCCUAAAUAUCAUCCACUUAUUUCUUAUCACUACCACAGUCUACACACCAUCACAAUUGAAUUUUAUCAUAAGAAUAAACUUAAUUAAAAAAAAAAA